CCUACGGGAGGCUGCAGUGGGGAAUAUUGCGCAAUGGGCGAAAGCCUGACGCAGCGACGCCGCGUGAGGGAUGAAGGUCUUCGGAUCGUAAACCUCUGUCAGCAGGGAAGAACGGUCACUGUGCUAAUCAGCAGUGAAUUGACGGUACCUGCAAAGGAAGCACCGGCUAACUCCGUGCCAGCAGCCGCGGUAAUACGGAGGGUGCGAGCGUUAAUCGGAAUUACUGGGCGUAAAGCGCUCGUAGGCGGUAUGUCAAGUCAAGGGUGAAAUCCCCGCGCUCAACGUGGGAACUGCCUUUGAAACUGGCAAACUGGAGGGUGGGAGAGGAUAGUGGAAUUCCAGGUGUAGGAGUGAAAUGCGUAGAUAUCUGGAGGAACAUCAGUGGCGAAGGCGACUAUCUGGCACAUAACUGACGCUGAGGAGCGAAAGCGUGGGUAGCAAACAGGAUUAGAUACCCUUGUAGUC
rnacentral:rRNA from 1 species